GGAGAGAUGGCCGAGUCUGGCCGAAGGCGCUCGCCUGGAAAGCGAGUAGACGGGUAGAUCCCCGUCUCGAGGGUUCAAAUCCCUCUCUCUCCGCCA
rnacentral:tRNA from 1 species